AGGACGAACGCUGGCGGCGUGCUUCAUACAUGCAAGUCGAACGAGAAACUAACUUCGGUUAGUGGAAAGUGGCGGACGGGUGAGUAAAAUGUAGAGAAUCUGCCCUAGAGAGGGGGACAACCGUUGGAAACGACAGCUAAUACCCCAUAUGAGCGUAGCUGAAAUGCUAUUCUUGAAAACUCCGGUGCUCUAGGAUGAGUCUGCAUCUGAUUAGCUAGUUGGGGGUGUAAUGGACCACCAAGGCGACGAUCAGUAGCUGGUUUGAGAGGAUGAUCAGCCACAAUGGGACUGAGACACGGCCCAUACUCCUACGGGAGGCAGCAGUAGGGAAUUUUGCGCAAUGGGCGAAAGCCUGACGCAGCCAACGCCGCGUGAUCGAGACGCUUUUCGGAGUGUAAAGAUCUGUCACAGGGGACGAAAAAUGACGGUACCCUGAGAGGAAGCACCGGCUAACUCCGUGCCAGCAGCAGC
rnacentral:rRNA from 1 species